rnacentral:rRNA from 1 species
UACGUAGGGUGCGAGCGUUAAUCGGAAUUACUGGGCGUAAAGAGUGCGUAGGCGGUUCGUUAUGUCUGCUGUGAAAGCCCCGGGCUUAACCCGGGAAUGGCAGUGGAAACUGGCGGGCUUGAGUCCGGUAGGGGCAGAGGGAAUUCUCGGUGUAGCAGUGAAAUGCGUAGAUAUCGAGAGGAACACCAGUGGCGAAGGCGAGUCUCUAGACAACUCCUGACACUGAGGCACGAAAGCUAGGGGAGCAAACAGG